rnacentral:lncRNA from 1 species
CCAUUUCUCAAAAAAUAAAAAAUAAAAAAUAAAAUCUCUUCGUCUUCCUCAACAUCACUCAUAAGUAACAAAGGAGUGGAUCUGGUUUAGUAAACUUUUUUCUUUUUAAUAGCAACCCAGAUUUGUACAACUCCACUUCCUCAAACAUAAAGUGUAUCACAGUUUUUAUUACAAAUCUGGGUCACCCUCUACUGUAAAUCUAAGUUUCUUAGUAGAUCUGGGUCUAGAUUUUAGUUUCAUUAUGAUGCAUGUUUAGGUUAUGGUGGAGCUGGAGGAAUGAUGGCGAUGCUAUUGAUUUUGUGGUUCGGGGGGUGGUAAUGAAAUUGAUUUUGUGGCUAGUGGGAGGAAGAAGAUGAAUAGUAAAAAUAAAAAUAAUUUUUUUUUGAAUUGAUGGUGGGUUUUGCUAGAGCAGGAAAAUGAUUAGGCUAAUGGAAGGAAGAAGAUGAAUAGUG